UGCGCGUUAUGAAAACAAUGCACUGCAGGUAUUUUAAUUAAUGCAACGAGCUGUACGAAAUAUCGGUCAAGGGGUUGGAAACGUCGUUAUAGAGAAUCCCGACGAUUUUUCUUUUGCGUGUGUGUAUUUGGAGUUGAUUCACAGUUUUAUUUGUUUAUUUUGGCUACAUUGCGCCAAUUGCGCUUCCAUAGAAUAAAGAAACGCGCUUCCACGCGCUUGCCGACUCGAUCGCAAGGGGACAGCCUGAUCAACAUCAAUAUCAGCAGCAAUGGCGGAUUUGCGCUUGCCAUGGCGCUUGCAAAGUUUUCAAUAGUUUUCGACUAUUAAGUGAUGCUUUUGCUAUUUUAACGUGUGGAGGUUCAUUGUACGUCUGUUUUUUCAAGUUUGGCAUGUGUUUUAACACAUGUGAAGGUGUAGUCUUUUCUUCUUCAGCGGAUAUUUGUACAAGACCCCGUUCACCGUCUAUCAGGUCACAAAGCUGCACCCAGGUAGAGGCAGAAUCCAAAAAUGCUUGUGUACUUAAGUAUAGCUGCACAUUACAGAAUCCGAGGCCCUCAAGAUUUAUCCGUAGCCCUCGUGUAGCCCACGAGUUCCAUAUUUUUUAUUGGGAUUGAAGAGUAACGUUUGUGCUGUAUCCUUCUAUUUCAGACUAAAUAAUGUGCAUGCAAAAUUAUAUCUUCAUUACUUUACAGCAUUGCACCAAUAUCUGUUGUGCGUUGAUUUUCUGAUGUCCUUGCAUUUGCUAUAGCAAGGAUUUUUAAAAAUCAGCCACGAAAGAAAAAAUAAAUGGUCAAGGAACGAAGUGGUGUGUAGCAGCUCCCUUUUUUUAAUCGGCAGCAAGUUUUGCACUCGUGUGUUAGCAACACUGUUCCGCCAGUUGCGUACUUCAAAAGAAGUGUUACCUUUCUGCUUUGGAACUUUGUGGUUUUGUUCUGCCAGCUGCAUGACCAACACAAGCAAAAUGUACUUUGGAUAUUCCACAAAUUCAUUAUGUAUGCAUUUGGUACAAUAAAAUUUGUUUCAAGAAUGGACAAA
rnacentral:lncRNA from 1 species